CACCAGAUGGCUGAAAUGUAAGCAAUGGUCUCUUAAACCAUAAUAUAGUAAAUUAACAACUACUUCUGAUGA
rnacentral:tRNA from 1 species